rnacentral:rRNA from 1 species
AACGAACGCUGGCGGCAUGCCUAACACAUGCAAGUCGAACGAGACCUUCGGGUCUAGUGGCGCACGGGUGCGUAACGCGUGGGAACCUGCCCUUAGGUUCGGAAUAACUCCCCGAAAGGGGUGCUAAUACCGGAUAAUGUCUUCGGACCAAAGAUUGAUCGCCUUUGGAUGGGCCCGCGUUGGAUUAGCUAGUUGGUAGGGUAAAAGCCUACCAAGGCGACGAUCCAUAGCUGGUCUGAGAGGAUGAUCACCCACACUGGGACUGAGACACGGCCCAGAAUCAUACGGGAGGCAGCAGUGGGGAAUAUUAGACAAUGGGCGAAAGCCUGAUACAGCAAUGCCGCGUGAGUGAUGAAGGGCUUAGGGUUGUAAAGCUAUUUUAACCGGGAUGAUAAUGACCGUACCGGGAGAAUAAGCUCCGGCUAAAUCCGUG